rnacentral:tRNA from 1 species
GGGCCGGUAGCUCAGCUAGGUAGAGCGACGGUGUGGGACAAGCUAGCCCUGCGUCGAGGCUUUUAACCCGUAGGUCCCGGGUUCGAAUCCCGGCCGGCCCG